AUGAGAAGGUGAGAGGAUGAAACAGUGGCCGUUGAAUUAGUUAGAUGGCUGUGAUUAAAAGGGAAGUUCAAUGAAUCAGGUGACUCUCACUAACGCGUUUCUCUCUCUCCAUUGAAACCCUCGUGCUUUUCAGCUUUCCACCCUGCAUCGCUCUUCCACGCUGAAAACCACCAUCACCCAUCGCUCUUCACAUGACUCUCACUAACGCGUUACUCUCUCUACAUCUAAUGGUUCUGAUUUUAAGAAAAAAUGCAGGUGACCUCUCAUCUAUCCUUUUCCUUGUUCUUGUGGCUCGGCGUGAGAAGUUCUCUUCGGGUUGUCUCACCUUCUUCUAUUGAAACUUCAUUUUGUUAAUUAUCUUACAAAUCUCUCAAAUAAAUUUGGAAUUCUAUUCGCAAAUUAGGGUUCGUAGGAACACAACCUGAUAUUGCAAAUUCCUGUUCACUAGUAUGCGUGAAUCGUUAAGUAAUUGAAAUUUUGAUAACGAUUUUCCUUCUUCUUCUUCACCCUGUGACUUUCAUCCUUUGAAUUUGGCAAUUUCGAUUAAUUGUGAAGGAAGAAAUAUCGAAACUUGAUUAUAAAGGCCAACUUUGGAGGAAAUUUAAGAGGCUAUGAAGGCCAAUUUCACAGAUUCAUCAUGACAAGUGGAAGGAAAAUAGAUUUAAUUUAGAAUAGGCAUGCUUGUAAAUACUAGACCACUGACUAUUCUUGUUUGCAACAUCAAUGUAAAUUCUAGUUUGAAUUUGUGAUGAGAAUAUGAGAUUCACAUGUUUGUAUUGUAAGCAAACUCGACAUUACGUAAAAAAUACGAGAUUCCUUUGAUUGUUUA